UACGAAGGAUCCAAGCGUUAUCCGGAUUCAUUGGGUUUAAAGGGUGCGUAGGUGGAUAGAUAAGUCAGCGGUGAAAUCUCCGGGCUUAACUCGGAAACUGCCAUUGAUACUAUUUGUCUUGAAUAUCCUGGAGGUGAGCGGAAUAUGUCAUGUAGCGGUGAAAUGCUUAGAUAUGACAUAGAACACCUAUUGCGAAGGCAGCUCACUACGGGAUUAUUGACACUGAGGCACGAAAGCGUGGGGAUCAAACAGG
rnacentral:rRNA from 1 species